AUCUGACUGGCUCAGUCGAUGGAGCGUGUGACUCUUGAUCUCAGAGUUGUGGGUUUGAGCCCCACAUUGGGUG
rnacentral:tRNA from 1 species